CCUACGGGAGGCAGCAGUGGGGAAUUUUGGACAAUGGACGAAAGUCUGAUCCAGCAAUGCCGCGUGCAGGACGAAGGCCUUCGGGUUGUAAACUGCUUUUGUACGGAACGAAACGGCCUGCUUUAAUACAGUGGGCUAAUGACGGUACCGUAAGAAUAAGCACCGGCUAACUACGUGCCAGCAGCCGCGGUAAUACGUAGGGUGCGAGCGUUAAUCGGAAUUACUGGGCGUAAAGCGUGCGCAGGCGGUUAUAUAAGUCAGAUGUGAAAUCCCCGGGCUCAACCUGGGACCUGCAUUUGAGACUGUAUAGCUAGAGUACGGUAGAGGGGGAUGGAAUUCCGCGUGUAGCAGUGAAAUGCGUAGAUAUGCGGAGGAACACCGAUGGCGAAGGCAAUCCCCUGGACCUGUACUGACGCUCAUGCACGAAAGCGUGGGGAGCAAACAGGAUUAGAUACCCUGGUAGUCCACGCCCUAAACGAUGUCAACUGGUUGUUGGGUCUUCACUGACUCAGUAACGAAGCUAACGCGUGAAGUUGACCGCCGNGGGAGGUACGGUCCGGCGAGGUUAGUUAAACGUUAAAGGUUAAAGUUAGUACGGCGUUGAGACGUUAGCCGACGGACGACGACGAGGGAGGAGG
rnacentral:rRNA from 1 species